rnacentral:rRNA from 1 species
GAUGAACGCUGGCGGCGUGCCUAAUACAUGCAAGUCGAGCGAACAGACGAGGAGCUUGCUCCUCUGACGUUAGCGGCGGACGGGUGAGUAACACGUGGAUAACCUACCUAUAAGACUGGGAUAACUUCGGGAAACCGGAGCUAAUACCGGAUAAUAUAUUGAACCGCAUGGUUCAAUAGUGAAAGACGGUUUUGCUGUCACUUAUAGAUGGAUCCGCGCCGCAUUAGCUAGUUGGUAAGGUAACGGCUUACCAAGGCAACGAUGCGUAGCCGACCUGAGAGGGUGAUCGGCCACCCUGGAACUGAGACACGGUCCAGACUCCUACGGGAGGCAGCAGUAGGGAAUCUUCCGCAAUGGGCGAAAGCCUGACGGAGCAACGCCGCGUGAGUGAUGAAGGUCUUCGGAGCGUAAAACUCUGUUAUUAGGGAAGAACAAAUGUGUAAGUAACUAUGCACGUCUUGACGGUACCUAAUCAGAAAGCCACGGCUAACUACGUG